rnacentral:rRNA from 1 species
GCAUAUGGAUGUCUGAUCUUGGAAGCUAAGCAGGGUUGGGCCUGGUCAGUACUUGGAUGGAAGACCACCUAGGAAGACCAGGUGCUGUAGGCG